CAGAUUAUGAAACCUUCCUAGCAAGAUCCAUAUGUGAGUUACCAGUGAUAUCAGAAAGUAAUGCUCUUCGACAUGUAUGUUACAUCACUAAACACCAGGACUUGACCAAAUCCUGUUCAUGUCAGUGGAGGUGACUCCUGUUGAUUUGACUGAAGUUUCUAUAGGAGUGUGCCUUGCACCUGAUAGGAAUCAAGACAUUACCCAACAACUUUUAAACAUCCAUGUAUCAACCCUAAUUUUGAUCACUGUUUCUAUCCUUUCAUAUCACCUAGAAUAAUGCUGAGUGACUACUGUAUGCCCCAUCUGCGAGUGCUGUAGUUUGUUCUUAGUGGUUCUUCUAGUCUGUAGGAUGAUUUAUUAAGAUAUGUUCCAUAUUGGAGAGAUUACAGAUCAGAAGUAGUCUGAUUAAAAUAUUUGGCAGGCCAUGUUUGCUUGAAGAUAUAUUAAGAGAAUGAUCUAAAAAAACAAAAAUCACAACUUACUGUAAUGAGUAAAAUAUUUUUUCUUCUGAAGUUUCUAAGAACUUUGUCUAAGUUAUCCAUUUAACAUCUUCAAAGAUUUAAGAAAUUACAUAAACUCUUGGGUAUUUUCCCUUACAGCAAAUUCUACGGUAAAUGGAUUCCAAAUAAAUCCUUCCUGUUUUUCUGUAUUUCAUUGUGUGUUAAGAUGGUAGCUAGCAUACAAUGAUUGUUCUCUGGCUCGUUUACCUCUAAGAGAUAAGCUGGCAUGAAAUUAAAACUGCAUCAAAACCUGAUAACCUAGAUGCAAAAUUCUACUCUUCAAAAAUUAUGAAAGAUGCUAAUGACUCAGUCUGUGUCUGUAUGUGUAUCUGUACCCACCUGAAUUUAGGUGGCAUCAAGAACACCUAAAAUUAUAAAGGGCUCUGAGCUGACUCAAGCUAUUUACUCAAGUGCCCUUAAACUUGCGUUGCCUAGAUUCAGUGCAACAAACCUUGGAGCGUAUGGUCAUAGUUUAAAAGACUUCUGCAGUUCAUCAAGAAGCCAAGGCUUUGGCCAUGUGUCCUCAGAUGGCUGAUUAGUUAUAUUUGUACACCUCUACAGAAAAAAUGAGUUUGCAUAGAGAAGUAUGUAAAUAUUAAGUUUUAUGAUUAUUAUCUUUUCCUGACCAAAGUAAUCUGUUAAAUUGUUAAAUUUACUGUUGAAUGUAUUUAGCAGGCACUCUAGAUCUAUACUUGGGGAGUCCGCUCCACUGCAGCAUCUGAGGACUUCAUGUUUCUUUAGAGAUCCUUCAAAGCUGGAACAUGAUAUGGUCCUUGUUUAAGGGGAAGAACUGAGACUCUGUGCAUGCUAACCCAGCAGUAGUGCUUCUGUUUUAUUCUUUGCAUCAGGUGCCUGGAGCUGCCUCAGGGUCCUGUUCUGCACCCUGGUCUCCAGCAGGACUGGCUGUAGGUGAAUUGCCCGUGGUCACACAGGAGCACUGGUUUUUCUAAUGCUUGCGGGGAAGCUUUGAUCUUUUCUCCUAAAGUAUGGCAUGGACUGACCCCACUGGGCAUCCACCAAGCCUGGGGGAGGGUCUGCCAGGUUAAACAAGGCUUACAAAACUUGUUUUUGUUUGAGCUGGUAGCAAAGUUGGGAUGUUGUGGGCUGCAUGCCCACAUGGGCUGAGAAGGCCUGGGGUGUCUGCUGGCCACAUGCCUCCUCCCCGGCUGCUGGGGGCUUUUCAGGGAGUGAUGCUCCCACCAGGGCCACUCUUGCAGCUGCCCUGCCCUGCAACCAGGCAUUUCUGUCCUGUCUCAAUAGGCCUCAGUUUAAUUUGGUUGGUGAGUGUUUACAGAUUAUACCCUCUGCUUAAUAAGGCUUCCGUGACAGCUGUUUUGUCCAGCUAUCAUCCCGAUGUAAAUGUUUUCACCCAAUGAUCCUUGGAUACCUACUAAUAUACUACACUUUCUCAUGUGUUUGAUGAUUGCUGUUUAUUUGCCUGAGAAACUUGCUGGAUUCAUAAAGCAUAUUUUUUCCACUCUGCUUCUGUUUCAGGGUAAUAUUUAAUCCAUUACCUGAAACAGCUUUUUCAUUCUCUUCAAUAUAAUAAAUUACUAAAUGGAAAGAAAUGGAUCUAAGUUCUGUUAGCUUAAACUCGACGAGCUUUUGUUUCGAGGCUGAACAGUGAAUGUUAGAAAGCUUGUUUUUCGCUUGUCCUGAAACCUUCCCCUCCUGCCUCCCCCCUUUCAUGCCAAUAAAAGGUAACCAGAGACAGCUGGGGGCUUGCUCUCUGCCUCCUUUGAAUGGGAGCGUCUUCUCAAUGCCUCUUUCUUGUACCUGCAGAGACCCCGCUCCGCUCCCUGCAGCGGCCGAGGUUCUCAGAGGUUGAAUAGGUUUUCAUUGCCUGCAUUUCUGGUCUGAAGCAGACUGAGAGAAAUGAGUGCUAAGUAAACGCGGUAGCAGCCUUGCCAGCAUCAGCAUUCCUGCCCGCCGCCCGCUCGUGCCGGCAGCGUAGCUCUGGAGCGGGGCACAUCACAGCCAUGGGCUUCUGCACAGCCAGCAGCGGGGUGUUUCGUGUGCCAGCAGCUGAGGAGGGCUGUGAAGCAAAGCAAGGAGUGGAGAGUCUAAUUUUUACGAGGCUGUUUAUUCUUUCUGUAACAAGUGUGUGGUGCCUGACUGAUGUUGAAUGGGAAUUUAAUGCAGUGAUAAAGUAAAACUGUAAACUUACCAA